rnacentral:rRNA from 1 species
CACGUAGGGUGCGAGCGUUGUCCGGAAUUAUUGGGCGUAAAGGGCUCGUAGGCGGUUUGUCGCGUCGGGAGUGAAAACCAGGUGCUUAACACCUGGCUUGCUUUCGAUACGGGCAGACUAGAGGUAUUCAGGGGAGAACGGAAUUCCUGGUGUAGCGGUGAAAUGCGCAGAUAUCAGGAGGAACACCGGUGGCGAAGGCGGUUCUCUGGGAAUGACCUGACGCUGAGGAGCGAAAGUGUGGGGAGCGAACAGG